rnacentral:rRNA from 1 species
AAUCAACGCUGGCGGCGUGCCUAACACAUGCAAGUCGAACGAGAAAGUGGAGCAAUCCACAAGUAAAGUGGCGCACGGGUGAGUAACACGUGACUAACCUACCCUUGAGUGGGGGAUAACCUAGGGAAACCUGGGCUAAUACCGCAUAAUACCUAUGGGUCAAAGGAGCAAUUCGCUUUUGGAGGGGGUCGGCGGCAGAUUAGUUAGUUGGCAGGGUAAUGGCCUACCAAGACGAUGACUGUAUCCGGCCUGAGAGGGCGCACAGACACACUGGAACUGAAACACGGUCCAGACUCCUACGGGA